ACUCAAAGGAAUUGACGGGGCCCCGCACAAGCGGCGGAGCAUGCGGAUUAAUUCGAUGCAACGCGAAGAACCUUACCUGGGUUUGACAUAUGCCGGAAAGGCCUAGAGAUAGGUCCCCCCUUGUGGUCGGUAUACAGGUGGUGCAUGGCUGUCGUCAGCUCGUGUCGUGAGAUGUUGGGUUAAGUCCCGCAACGAGCGCAACCCUCGUCCUAUGUUGCCAGCGGGUUAUGCCGGGAACUCAUAGGAGACCGCCGGGGUCAACUCGGAGGAAGGUGGGGAUGACGUCAAGUCAUCAUGCCCCUUAUGUCCAGGGCUUCACGCAUGCUACAAUGGCCGGUACAAAGGGCUGCAACCCCGCAAGGGUGAGCGAAUCCCAAAAAGCCGGUCUCAGUUCGGAUUGGGGUCUGCAACUCGACCCCAUGAAGUCGGAGUCGCUAGUAAUCCCAGAUCAGCAACGCUGGGGUGAAUACGUUCCCGGGGCUUGCACACACCGCCCGU
rnacentral:rRNA from 1 species